AUUGAACGCUGGCGGCAGGCUUAACACAUGCAAGUCGAGCGAGCGGCGGACGGGUGAGUAAUGUCUGGGAAACUGCCCGAUGGAGGGGGAUAACUACUGGAAACGGUAGCUAAUAUCGCAUAUCACCUGAUGUGUCCCGAUGGGAUUAGCUAGUAGGUGGGGGAACGGAUCACCUAGGCGACGAUCCCUAGCUGGUCUUAGAGGAUGACCAGCCACACGGGAACUGAGACACGGUCCAGACUCCUACGGGAGGCAGCAGUGGGGAAUAUUGCACAAUGGGCGCAAGCCUGAUGCAGCCAUGCCGCGUGUGGGAAGAAGGCCUUCGGGUUGUAAAGCACUUUCAGCGAGGAGGCGUUACCCGCAGAAGAAGCACCGGCUAACUCCGUGCCAGCAGCCGCGGUAAUAC
rnacentral:rRNA from 1 species